rnacentral:tRNA from 1 species
UUUAAUAGAAGUUUAAAACAUUUCAUUGUUAAUGAGAAAAUGGGCCAGAGCCCCUAUUAA